ACCCCUACGGGGGGCAGCAGUGGGGAAUAUUGCACAAUGGGCGCAAGCCUGAUGCAGCCAUGCCGCGUGUAUGAAGAAGGCCUUCGGGUUGUAAAGUACUUUCAGUCGUGAGGAAGGUAGUGUGUUUAAUAGAUGCAUUAUUUGACGUUAGCGACAGAAGAAGCACCGGCUAACUCCGUGCCAGCAGCCGCGGUAA
rnacentral:rRNA from 1 species